rnacentral:rRNA from 1 species
UCGUUUGACGUUAGCUGCAGAAGAAGACACCGGCUAACUCCCGUGCCAGCAGCCGCGGUAAUACGGAGGGUGCGAGCGUUAAUCGGAAUUACUGGGCGUAAAGCGCAUGCAGGUGGUUUGUUAAGUCAGAUGUGAAAGCCCGGGGCUCAACCUCGGAAUUGCAUUUGAAACUGGCAGACUAGAGUACUGUAGAGGGGGGUAGGAAUUUCAGGUGUAGCGGUGAAAUGCGUAGAGAUCUGAAGGAAUACCGGUGGCGAAGGCGGCCCCCUGGACAGAUACUGACACUCAGAUGCGAAAGCGUGGGGAGCAAACAGGAUUAGAUACCCCUGGUGG